AACACCCUGUAUAACUUAAGCGGGGCGAAAGGUAGAUGUAUUCCAAUGCUUGUUGCGUUAUCUAUGCAAAAAUACCUUUCAUUUAAAAAAGAAUAAUGCAAAUCGGGCGGAUAGAACUGCCGGACGAACUCGGAAUAGAAUUCAUAAAUUGUUUUAAUAUAUAGAUUUUGAUUGUUUGGACCAGCGAGACAACUAACAACCAAGCACAGAAGAUUGGUUCUAAUGUUCACCGAAUCGUGAAUACUUUUAACAAACAGAUGAUUGAGUUGGAAUUAUUCUCUUCGCAAGUGCUACAGUGCGACAGCAUCUUCUCGGCGAUGGGUCUCCCGAUGGACGCAACCAUUUUGACAAAGAUAGUGUGCUUGUAACGCCUUGUUGAGAAAAAGCUAUAAUGUAAUGAUUUUUAAUUGAAUGUUGAAGAAACAAUUAUAGUCGAUUGAAGAAG